rnacentral:tRNA from 1 species
GGGUGCUUAGCUCAGUUGGUAGAGCGGCGCCCUUACAAGGCGUAGGUCGGGGGUUCGAACCCCUCAGCACCCAC